rnacentral:tRNA from 1 species
AAGCCAUUAAAUAAAUUCUUUCUUAUAUUUUCAAAAUAUAUGCUUUACUGCAAUAAGCUAAAUAGC